AGUUCAGUUCUGGCUCAGAUUGAACGCUACGGCGGGAUGCUUUACACAUACCGUCGGGCAACUGGCACGGACUUCGGUCUGGUGGCGAGUGGCGAACGGGUGAGUAAUGUAUCGGAACGUGCCUAGUAGCGGGGGAUAACUACGCGAAAGCGUGGCUAAUGCACCGCAUACGCCCUUCGGGGGAAAAGCGGGGGACCUUCGGGCCUCGCACUAUUAGAGCGGCCGAUAUCGGAUUAGCUAGUUGAGUGCGGGAGUAACGGCUCACCGAGGCGACGAUCCGUAGCUGGUUUGAGAGACGACCAACCACACUGGGACGGCGGACACGGCCCAGGCUCCUACGGGAGGCAGCAGUGGGAAUUUUGGACAAUGGGAAACCACGAUCCAGCCAUCCCGCGCGUGUCGAUGAAGGCCUUCGGGUUGUAAGCACUUUUGGCAGGAAAGAAACAGCCACGGGAUAAUACCCCGUGCAACUGGCGAACACCUGCAGAAUAAGCACCGGCUAACUACGUGCCAGCAGCCGCGGUAAUACGUAGGGUGCAAGCGUUAAUCGGAAUUACUACUGGGCGUAAAGCGUGCACCAGGCGGUUCGGAAAGAAGAUGUAAAUCCCAGAGCUUAACUUUGGAACUGCAUUUUAACUACCGAGCUGAAGAGUGUGUCAGAGGAGGUGGAAUUCCGCGUGUAGCAGUGAAAUGCGUAGAUAUGCGGAGGAACACCGAUAGCGAAGGCAGCCUCUGGGAUAACACUGACGCUCAUGCGAAAGCGUGGGAGCAGAACGAAGUUAUACCCUGGUAGUCCACGCCCUAAACGAUGUCAACUAGCUGUUGGGGCCUUCGGGCCUUGGUAGCGCAGCUAACGCGUGAAGUUGACCGCCUGGGAAGUACGGUCGCAAGAUUAAAACUCAAAGGAAUUGACAGGGACCCCGCACAAGCGGUGGAUGAUGUGGAUUAAUUCGAUGCAACGCGAAAAACCUUACCUACCCUUGACAUGUCUGGAAUCCCGAAGAGAUUUGCAGGAGUGCUCGCAAGAGAACCGGAACACAGGUGCUGCAUGGCUGUCGUCAGCUCGUGUCGUGAGAUGUUGGGUUAAGUCCCGCAACGAGCGCAACCGCUUCAAUCAUUAGUUGCUACGAAAGGGCACUCUAAUGAGACUGCCGGUGACAAACCGGAGGAAGGUGAGAUGACGUCAAGUCCUCAUGGCCCUUAUGGGUAGGGCUUCACACGUCAUACAAUGGUCAGGACAGAGGGUCGCCAACCUUGCGAGGGGGGCAAUCAGAAACCCGAUCGUAGUCCGGAUCAUGAUCUGCAACUCGACUGCGUGAAGUCGGAAAUCGCUAGUAAUCGCGGAUCAUGUCGCGGUGAAUGCGUUCCCGGGUCUUGUACACACCGCCCGUCACACCAUGGGAGUGGGUUUUUACAGAAGUAAUAACCGUAAGGAGGUGAUUACCACGGUAGGAUUCAUGACUGGGGUGAAGUCGUAACAAGGUAG
rnacentral:rRNA from 1 species